AUUUGCGGCCCGGGAUUUCCCGGGGCCUGGCCCCUGCGCGCUGCUGCGUGACCUGGGGCGGCGCCGCCGGCGGCCGUGGCUCCUCAGGUGCUAAGCGCACGGAGCCGCCUCGCGGGGCGGGUGCAGUCGCCGCGCGCGGCGUGUCGGUUACCCCGUGAAGGAGGGCGGGGGCCGCGCCUCGCGACGACCCCAGGACGGCUAACUCGGUUGCCAGCGCCGCUUCCUACGCCCCAGAGGAGCAGAGAUGGGGAGGGGGACCCCCCAGUGGCUAUGCUUCCAACAGAGAUCGCGGCUACCCUGGAAUAACUCACCGGAGGGAUGUGUAAAUGGCUUUCUAGACAGAGAGAGAGAGAGAGAGAGAGGCAGAGACACAGGAAGAGGGAGAAGCAGGCUCCAUGCCGGGAGCCCGACGCGGGACUCGAUCCCAGGACUCCAGGAUCGCGCCCUGGGCCAAAGGCAGGCGCUAAACCACUGAGCCACCCAGGGAUCCCCUAGUCCCUGGUUCAGAGAGUAAUUGCAUGAUCCUCUCUGGCCAGAGUAGCAGAGCUGAUUUCACUCCAGCACACAGACACUUCCUAUCAGCAUGGCAGUAUAACUGGCCAACACUGUGAGACUGUAAACUGUCCAGUGUAUUCCUUUCAUGAAACAUGUUGGUGAUGAAACCCCUGGAAAAUUCUGACCAGUGAGUGCUCCAGGCACCUCAGAUCUUCUGACAUACAGAGGAAGUUAGUUGGAAAAAAAGUGGCCAUUUGUAGGCUCUCGGACAGAGAAGUCAAGCAAGUAGGGUGAUCUUUGACAAGGGUUUGGUGGCAUAGGAGUUCCUAAGAUCACCUGGAGAGUAAAGAGGCUGGAGACAUUGGCAAUGUUAUAUUGUGCUACACCAAGCUUGAAGUGAUAAAGACCGCAUAAGUUUUCUUCUGCUGUAAUAAACAGCCACAGCAAAUUACCUUAGUGGCUGAAACAAUACGAAUGUAUUAUCUAAUAGUUCCUUAAGUCAAAAGUCUACCACGUGUCUCACUGAGCUAAAAUCAAGGUGUUGACAAGGCUGCCCUCCUUUCUAGAGUCUCUAGGAGAGAAUCCACAUCCUUGCCUUUUUCCAGCUUCUAGAGGCUGACCACAUUCCCUGGCCUCUAUCCUUCACCUUCAAAGGCAGCAACAGAAGGUUGAGUCCUUCUUAUGCUGCUGUUUCUCUGGUUCUCUGAUCACAGCUGGACAAGAUUCUUUGCUUUCAAGGACUAAUGUGAUUAGAUUGGACCUUCCCAGAUAAUCCAGAAUACUCUGUCUCAAGGGCAGUAGUCUUAAUCACAUCUGCAAAGUCCCUUUAGUCAUGAAAGGUACUAUAUCCUUGGGUUCUAGCAAUCAAGGUGUGCAUGUCUUUGUGGGCUGUUACUAUGUCUACCAUAAACACCUAGAACAGAUAUUUUAUUUUAUUUAUUUAUUUUUUUUAAAUUUUUAUUUAUUUAUGAUAGUCACACACACAGAGAGAGAGAGAGAGGCAGAGACACAGGCAGAGGGAGAAGCAGGCUCCAUGCACCGGGAGCCCGACGUGGGAUUCGAUCCCGGGUCUCCAGGAUCGCGCCCUGGGCCAAAGGCAGGCGCCAAACCGCUGCGCCACCCAGGGAUCCCAUAGAACAGAUAUUUUAAAUAAUCAGUAAGACUUAACCUUUAACUGGAUCAAUGGCCCAUAAAGUCAAUUUGGUAUGGAAAUGCACUAGAAGAGGUAGAAGAAGAUAACUGAGAUCAAGCAUGACUUAUUUGGGUAAUUUUACCCUUUUUUAACUGUUCUAAGACAUGUGAAGGUCUGUCUGCCUGCUGUCAGUAAUAGGAACAAUCUGGUAGUCACAAAAGCAUGAGUGUCUUAGGGAAGCUUCUAGAUCUGGGAUCAAAAAGCCUUAUAAAAAAGCAGGCCUUGUCUGUUUUUUUUUUUUUUUUUUAAGAUUUUUAUUUAUUUAUUCAUGAGAGACACAGAGAGAGAGAGAGGCAGAGGCACAGGCAGAGGGAGAAGCAGGCUCCCUGCAGGGAGCCCCAUGUGGGACUCUAUCUCAGGAUCCCGGGAUCAUGCCCAGAGCUAAAGGACACCCAGGUGUUCCAGGCCUGGUCUGUUCUUGAGUGUUCCCAAGGGUGCGUUUAUUUUCUCACCUUCCCUGGGAGCAUUGGUGCUUACCCAGUUGGCUCCUAGUUGCUGGGGACCAUCUAUCUCCUUCGUUCCUCUUCUCCAAUAUGGGUCCCAUCUCAGGGGGCUUCCUCGAUGCUUCUUGGUUGAAGCAGACAGGUCCAGGGAGCAGGUAUGGAGAAUGAAUGUGGAAAAAGAAGAUGAUAUUAGGGCCACACUGGACAAUUCUGGUGUGAGUAGAAACCCACUAGAUGGUUAGUUUGGGACAAGUGAAUGUGUGACAAUAAUUCUGAGCACAAAGUGAGCAUGAGAGCCUUACUAUACCAUUGGGGGUGGCUCCAGGAGAAAGGGUGCCUAGUUAAAACACUACCUCAGACAGUUUUGAUCUCUUUAUUUCUCAGGUCUUGUUGGUUGCACCUGAUUUCCUCCAUGACAUUAAACAACUGUUGUAUGAUUUCUCUGUUGGUAGCACACAGUUUUUCCAAAUUAAGGAAAAAAAAGACAGGAACAAAAAGGUUAUGCUUUUCAUCUAUGUCUGUGUAAACAAACCCAGUAAUUACCAUAACUCAAAUUGCUGCUGAAAUUCUCCAUAUUUUAAUGUGCACACUGUCGCUCUUGCUACUAAAUCUCUGCAUAUAUCCUGGGAAGUUAAUCCUGAAUUAGGAAACAGAAAAACUGAUUAAAUAAAAUUGGGCCAAGUCCAUGAUUUUUAUAUUCAUAAGAUUCAGAAUAUCUGUGAGGAAAUGUGAAAUGCAAAUUGAAUUAUCUUCCAGAGUAAUAACAAAAAAAAAAAAAAAGAGAGAGAGAGAGAGAGAGACAGAGAGAGAAACAAUGCUAAAAUAUGGGUAUCCAUGCAGAGAUGUAUGAAUUAGGCUUGCUAAGGUUUCAGUUGAUUGUGAUUCAAUAUUCUGCUCCUCUGAAACAACCAUUACUUACUAGGCUGCACAAACUCAAUUCUCUUAGACUAUAGUGGAUAUUAUCCAGGUUUCAUGUAGCAACAUUUUGUCAAAUUUUAUACUCUUAUCAAAAGAGAUUUUUUGCUGAACUUUGAAGAUAGCAUUAUUAGUCCUUAUAAUUGUUUCAAUCACUGUCUUUCUUGAUUGGCUUUAGCACAAAAGGGCAGUUGUAAACAUUCAAAGAAAAGUCAGGAUGGCAAAAGAGCAUUGUUUUUGUGCCCAUAGGCAUGGGGUAGGUGAAAUUGAGUAUUAAGGAAAUAAUGUAGAAAAUUCAAGACUCACCAUUUGUCUCUAAAAAAAGAAAAAAAGAAAAAAAAUUCAGAACGCCACAUUGUCUUUUUUUUUCUUUUUAAAGAUUUUAUUUAUUUAUUCAUGAGAGACACAGAGAGAGAGAGAGAGGCAGAGACACAGGCAGAGGGAGAAGCAGGCUCCACACAGGGAGCCCGACAUGGGACUCGAUCCCCUGUCUCCAGGAUCACAUCCCGGGUCCAAGGCAGUGUUAAACCACUAAACCACCAGGGCUGCCCUCCACAUUGUCUGUUAAUAAAUUGGACUAAUUGGAAUGUUUUUACUGUAUCUCUUUCUUUUUCCCCUCAGAGCCCCUCUCUGUCCCUCUGUGCUCUCUGCCUUGGGAGGCUGAGCUCUUUGGACCUGACCAGGGAGCUCUCUUGUCAUCUGGCUUGCCUUGGGGUCUAACAACAGAGAGCCCCAGCAGGAAGUCAGAGGGAGAGGGGAGGGUAAGUUCUGGGUCCCCUCUAGAUGGCUGUGUCCCUCCACUGAAGACCACUGCUUUUGCCAAGCUUGCCCUUUCUUCUAAGCUCUGGAAACUACUUUUUUCCCCUUUCCCUUCAGGCCUGGCACUGUUAUAAACUUCAGGGUACUACACUCUCCUUGGUAGUUUUGAUUUCCCACAUCCUGGCCCACAACUUUUAAUACCCUUUUAGUCAGGAGUCCCACACUGGCCCAGAAGCACAGGGGCUAGGCUCUAGCAUCCCUGAUGUGAGCACUUCAGGACUACCUUUCAUGUGGAACGGAAUAUGUCUACUGUCACAGGUUGGCUGACCUGUGUGUACGCGGCCAUUAGGAUCUGUCCCACCACCUUCCAACCACUACAGGGAAGUCCUGGCUUCCCCCUCGCCUCAAGGGUAUCCAUCCUUUCUCUGUGUCACAUGCCUCCCCAUGCCCUAAUUAAAAAAAACAAAACAAAACAAAAAAAACCCUUUAGGAAACUCUGCUCGAAUUAUCCUGAUUUGACUGUGCUCCAUUUUAUAUUACCACCCCUUACAGAAACCAACUCUGGUUUAUCCAGUCCUGUAUUUAAAUUCUCCUCCCAUUCCUGGACCACCAUCAUCUCUUACCAGGACUGCUAGGAGCUCUCCACUUCUACUCUUAAUUGCCUCAAAGUCUUCUAAAGGUUUCCUAUCACAAAUAUAAGAUCCAAAUCCCUCUCGUGGGCAAAGGCCCCAUAUGGUUAGGCUCUUAAUCAACUUCAUUUUGAGUCAUACUCAUCUUGUAGGUUCUAGAACACACCAACUUCUCUUUUGCCUGAGGACCUUUGUCCAUAUUAUUCACCCUGCCUGGACUGUUCUGCUCCCUGUUCUUUAUGUGGUUAGCAUGAUCAAAGACAAAAACUGAGUUAAGUAAGGAGAUGGAUUUUAUUCAGUCCAUUGCAGAAGGGAAAGUAACCCAGAUCUAAAGAUUAGAGUGUAUAUUAUGUUUGUUGUAACAAAUUACCACAGAAUUAGUGGCUUAAAAUGAUAGAAAGUUAUUCUCUUAUACUUCUGGAGGUCAGAAGUCCAAAAUGAGUCUAAGUGGCUAAAAGUGAGGUGUGGGCAGGGCUGUGCUGCCUCUGGAGAGUCUAGGGGAGAAUCUGUUUCCUUGCUUUUUCCCACAUCUAGGGCUGGAUUCCUUGGCUCGUGGUCCCUUCCUCUAUCUUCAUAACCAGUGUUGUAGCAUCUUCUGUGUGACUCUGAUUCUCUCUGCUUCUAUCACAUGGCCACCUUCUGUCUGCGGUCAAGUCUCCUGCAUCCCUCUCACAGGAACAUUUGUGAAUAUACAUAGGGUUGACCCAGAUAAUCCAGGAUAAUUGCCCCAUUUCGGCUCUUUAAUUACAUCUGCAAACACCUUUUUUCAUAUAUGAAAACAUUUAUAGGUUUUAGGAAUUAAGACCUGGAUAUCUUUUAGGGGUCAUUAUUAGCCCCUAUCCUGUAUUCUAGCACAGUGUUUUUGCCCUAGAUCUUUAUAGGAAGUUGGAACAGGAAAGAGGAAAUGUAUAUUUCUGUGCCUAGCUCGUUUUAGGGGGACAGUCAAUUCUAGUGUCAGCUAAUUAUUCAUGAGACAAAGAACAAAGAGAAUCUAUGUCUAAUUUUUGUCAGCAGAUGUAGGCAAAAGGUUUGCUCUUGUCACAGGUAAACAUGGUAGUCAUCUAUAAGUUUUAGGAGUUAUAAAAAAGAGUGGACAGCAAGUCUUAUCAAAGCCAUGUGGGGAAUGGUGGUUCAUCAGUGAGCCAUUUUCUGGAACACAAAAGGGUAGCAGACUUGGGGGGGGAAUGUUGGGGAGAUUUCUUAACCAUCACUGUCUUCCAGGAACAUGGAGUUCAGGUAGUCAGCACCUUCUUAUUCUUAAAUCUUUUUGCAUAGAUGCCCUCCCUGACCACCCUAAGUGCUGCUUUUCUAUUAUUCUCUCUUACAGUUUCCUCUUUAUUUCUUUCUGAUAUUUUCCAUAAUUCAUAAUUAUUUUGUGUAUUUGUUUGCUCAUCUGUCAAGACCAUAAACUUCUUGAGGACAAGGAGUGUGGUGUCUUACAUUUGAAGAGUUAGAGGAAUGUCUUUGUAUCUAUAGAACAUUUUUGUUGAAUUGACCAAAAAGGAAAUAUCAGAUGACCAAUAAACUCCAGGAGAAACUGUCUAGUAAUUGGUAGUUUAGAAAAAAGGAGAAGAAGAAGAAGAAGAAGAAGAAGAAGAAGAAGAAGAAGAAGAAGAAGAAGAAGAAGAAGAAGAAAAAGGAAGAAGAAGAGGAAGAAGAAGAAGAAAAAGAAGAAGAAGAAAAGAAGGAGGAGGAGGAGGAGGAGGAGAAUCACAGUGAGAUAAACAAAAGAGAGUCAGAAAUCCUGGGCAGAGACACACAGAGGUGUGUGUGAAAUGUGAGUCAUAGCUGGUGUGGGAUGGGGUCUGAGCAGGGUGGGGUGAGGCUCCACAGUGAGUCAGCGACCAGAGUCCAGAGGAGCUUGGGAUUUAUACUUCCUGUUCCCCUCUGUGCCUUGCAUUCAUUCAUUCAUUCUAUCAACAAAUAUUGAGUGUGUUUCGUGUGCAGGGCACUGAUCUAGACUUUGGGGACAAAGCAGGGAACAGAACAGACAAAAAUAAGUCUGACCCUAAGUAGAAAUGAUUGAAAUAAACAGUUCUUUCAAGGUUGUUGUUUUUUUCUUUUCUCUUUUUUCUUUUUUUUAGAUUUUAUUUAUUUAUUCAUGAGAGACACAGAGACAGAGAGAGGCAGAGGCAGAAGCAGGCUCCAUGCAGGUAGCCUGACAUGGGACUCAAUCCCAGGUCUCCAGGAUCCCAGCCUGGGCUGAAGGUGGCACUAAACCACUGGGCCACCCAGGCUGCCCCAAAAUAAACAGUUCUAAGCAUUAAGGAGAAAAGUAAAGCAGGAGAGUAAGAUGUGGAAUGUAGGCUUGUGAUUUAUAGAGUGGCCAUUUAAGGCCUCAGUGAAAAUAGACUCUCUGCCAGGCAUGGAGUUGAGGGCAGGGGGCCCUUAACCAAACUUAAAGGAAAUGAUAUCCUGGGGAAGGGUGUUCUAGGCAGGGGGCACAGCAAAUAGUCAGAUCCCGUAAGAUGGCCCAAGUGGUCUGAAGAGAGUGAUGGAGGGUCUCAGAGUUGUAGGAGAUGAGGUCAUGGAAGUGGGGGGCAAGGUGUAGUUGUAAGGCCUUGUAAGCUUCUGUAAGGACUGUGGCUUUUCCAUGGAGUGAAAUAGAAGCCACUGGAAGGUUUUGAUAAGAAGAGUGACAUACUCUAUUUCAUUUAACAGGAUCGCCUGGGCUGCUAUGCUGAAUGAGACAAAAAAGGAUCAAGGCCUGAUGAAGGAAGACCCUUUAGGAGGGUGAUCCAAGGGAGAAAUGAUAGUGGUAGCAUGGGUUGGGAAGGUUGCAGUGGAGAUGGUGAGAAGUGCUAGAUUCUGGAUAUAUUCUGAAACUGGGUCAGAUGUGAGGUGAGAGAGAGAAGUCAAGGAUGACCCCCCAAGAUUCAUGGCAAGGAUGAGGGUUGCCAUUUAUUGAGAUCUGAAAGAGUGCCAAAUGAGCAGCUUUGGGAAGGAAGGUCAAGUUUUGUACAGAUUAAGUCCAAAAUGCACAAGUAAUACUUUUUCAAAAGAGAAUUCAUUUUGUAAAUGUACCUGUGAGCAUUAGGAAAUCAUAGAACUGGUGAUCAUAUCUCUCCAGUGUGCUGAUUGCCUUAGUGGCUGGCUAGGGUAACACCUUUUGAGACCUGUUAUUGCUUUCUUCCUUGGACUUUCCACCUUCCCUGAGAAUGUUUCUACCUCUCCUUUGUUGGAAGAAGUACAACAGGAAAUUUAGAAAACCCAAAUAUAUAACUGCUUUGGAAAUAGCAAUUUUUUGCUGUUAAGCAAAGUCCAUCUGUGAAAUAACUCCUUUUCUUGACCUCUUGGACACCCAGAAGAACAGAUGAACUGUAUUCAGAAAUUCAGGAAAGCCACUAGCUUGGGGGAAAGAGCUGUGUCAGGACAGAGGCCCAUGCUUUGGCUUCCAGGGCUGUGUCGCUGAGUCCACAGCUUGGCAUAGCUUUCUCCAGUAAGUCAACUGCUUAGCUUUGGCCCCAAAUAGCCCUCUGCUGAGUGGUUGUCCAGGCUGAGAAAGCAAGCAAAAAAGCUUUUUGCUCCAGAUAUCAUUGCUCUCACCUUCUCUGAAGCAAUGACAUUCAUAACCUGGAUUUUGGCCUUAACCUCUGAGUUCCCCUUCCACAUUCCUCAUCUUGAACUACCCAACCUGAAAAUACACUCUUUAAGUCUUAUGCAAGAGUGCCAUGCAUUCUGCUUCAUCCGAGUCAUUCCGUGUAAAUUAAUUUUCCAAAUAACUGAAGCUUAGCUAUCCCUUGACAUCAACUAUAUGAAGGAGAAUUUUUCUGAGGAUGAACGAUGUCUAUUCUUACUAUCUUAACCAGAGUACAUAGAACAAAAUUGAACUUUCUGCCAUAAGGCUGUCUUCUCACAAUGACAAUGUCUGAGGCUCUCAUGAAGUAUGGAGAGUCUAUGUCUGUGUCUGCUACACUGGAUGACCUCAGAUUGCCAUGUUUUUGAGGUGUGUAUUUCUUCUUAAAAAGGUGUUUUUCAUGUUUUACUGCAUCAUUCCUGCUGACAUUUGUUGUGUAGUUGCUGCUCAUUUAACAUGCUGGAAAACACCGAAAAACCACAUAGGAUUGUGCAUAAAUCAUCUGUCUGAGAACCUUGAUUUAGUGCUAGAGAAUUUAGUGCACUGAGGUCAUUUUCAGCUUUAUUUUUAUGGUUCUAGAUUUCCUGAAAAAUAGGCAUGAUGGAUUAUGCAUAGAUAAUGAGCUUUUAUUUGGAUAUGACUUGAGCAUUUUUAACUUAUCUAAUUCCCAACUUUACUCUUAGUGGCUGAUACGUGAUCUUGGAAAUGUGAGAUAGCAUUUGUAAUAGAAUUCUAAUAUUGCUCUUCAUGGUCACCCUAUGUAAGCUCCUUCUCUUGAGUUUGGGCAAGACCUAGGAGUAUGAUGGGAUAGCACUCUAGUGAUUAGGUUACUUUAUAUGUUUGGCAAAGGUGAAGGGAUUUUGAAUAUGUAAUUAAAGUUUCUAAUCAGCCAGCUUUAAUUCAAUCAAAAGGGAGAUUGACCCAGGUGGGUCUGGCUUAUUCAAGUGAACCCUUUAAAAAAGGGUCUAGAGGGAAGCGGUCUUAUCCCCUUCCAGCUUUGAAGAAGCAAGCUGCCAUGAGUUUAUACAGUUGUGAGUAAAUUAAUUUAGCCAGCAAUCACGUGAAUUUGAAGGAUCUUGAACCUCAGAUGAGACCACAGCCCCAGCCAACACCUUGACUGUAGUGGGAAACCCUGAACAGAGGACUCCCUUAAGCUAUAUCUGUACUCUCCAUCCAUGGGAGCUGUCAGAUAAUAAAUGGGUAUUGUUUUAAGCAGAUAAAUUUGUGAUAAUUUAUUAUGAAGGAAUAAAAAAUUAAGACAGCAUCCUAUUUGGAUUUUGUGUUUAAAAAGGUAAAAGAGCAUAUUGUACUUGCCAUGCAUGGGUUCACACAAACGUAAUCACAUUAUUAUAAUGACCUCAUCCUACUAUGGAUAAUAUAAAUUCUCAGUUUUAGUCAGUCCAGGAAAUAAAACCCAAGAAUUUAUUAAGAUUAUCCUUGUCCUUUCCUGAGCUUCAGUAAAUAAAAUGUGCAGAGUUGUAGUGAGUAGUAAGUCCAAGCCAACAUUUCUCUAUCACUGUUUUUACCCAGGAGAGAGUCGUAAGCUUUAAAAAAAGAUCUCACUUAAAAAAAAAAAAAAAAAAAAAAAAAAAAAAAA